rnacentral:rRNA from 1 species
UACGAAGGGGGCUAGCGUUAAUCGGAAUUACUGGGCGUAAAGCGUGCGCAGGCGGUUUUGUAAGCCCGAUGUGAAAUCCCCGGGCUUAACCUGGGAAUGGCAUUUGGGACUGCAAGGCUGGAGUGCGGCAGAGGAGACUGGAAUUCCUGGUGUAGCAGUGAAAUGCGUAGAUAUCAGGAGGAAUACCGAUGGCGAAGGCAGGUCUCUGGGCUGACACUGACGCUCAUGCACGAAAGCGUGGGGAGCAAACAGG